GCUAUCAGAUGAGCCUAGGUCGGAUUAGCUAGUUGGUGGAGGUAAUGGCUCACCAAGGCUACGAUCCGUAACUGGUCUGAGAGGGAUGACCAGUCACACUGGAACUGAGACACGGUCCAGACUCCUACGGGAGGCAGCAGUGGGGAAUAUUGGACAAUGGGCGAAAGCGUGAUCCAAAAGUGCCGCGUGUGUGAAGAAGGUCUUCGGAUUGUAAUUAAAGGGAGUUGGGAGGAAGGGCAUUAACCUAAUACGUUA
rnacentral:rRNA from 1 species